rnacentral:rRNA from 1 species
GACGAACGCUGGCGGCGUGCUUAACACAUGCAAGUCGAACGCUGAAGCUCAGCUUUUGUUGGGUGGAUGAGUGGCGAACGGGUGAGUAACACGUGAGUAACCUGCCCCCUUCUUUGGGAUAACGCCCGGAAACGGGUGCUAAUACUGGAUAUUCACUGGUCUUCGCAUGGGGGUUGGUGGAAAGGGUUUUUCUGGUGGGGGAUGGGCUCGCGGCCUAUCAGCUUGUUGGUGGGGUGAUGGCCUACCAAGGCUUUGACGGGUAGCCGGCCUGAGAGGGUGACCGGGAACAUAGGGACGGAGAUACGGCCCAGACUCCUACGGGGGGCGGAAGUGGGGAAAAUUGCACAAUGGGCGCAAGCAUGAUGCAGCGACGCCGCGUGAGGGAUGGAGGCCUUCGGGUUGUGAACCUCUUUCGCUCAUGGUGAAGCCGCAACAAUGGUUGUGGUGAGGGUAGUGGGUAAAGAAGCGCCGGCUAACUACGUG